CAGUCGCCACGGGAAUACGAAGGGGGCUAGCGUUGUUCGGAAUUACUGGGCGUGAAGCGCACGUAGGCGGACAUUUAAGUCAGGGGUGAAAUCCCGGGGCUCAACCCCGGAACUGCCUUUGAUACUGGGUGUCUUGAGUGUGGAAGAGGUCAGUGGAAUUGCGAGUGUAGAGGUGAAAUUCGUAGAUAUUCGCAGGAACACCAGUGGCGAAGGCGGCUGACUGGUCCACAACUGACGCUGAGGUGCGAAAGCGUGGGGAGCAAACAGGAUUAGAUACCCCGGUAGUCCCUGUCUCUUAUAC
rnacentral:rRNA from 1 species